rnacentral:rRNA from 1 species
CCUACGGGCGGCAGCAGUGAGGAAUAUUGGUCAAUGGGCGCGAGCCUGAACCAGCCAAGUAGCGUGAAGGAUGACUGCCCUACGGGUUGUAAACUUCUUUUAUAAAGGAAUAAAGUGAGGCACGUGUGCCUUUUUGUAUGUACUUUAUGAAUAAGGAUCGGCUAACUCCGUGCCAACAGCCGCGGUAAUACGGAGGAUCCGAGCGUUAUCCGGAUUUAUUGGGUUUAAAGGGAGCGUAGAUGGGUUGUUAAGUCAGUUGUGAAAGUUCGGGGCUCAACCCUAAAAUUGCAAUUGAUACUGGCAGUCUUGAGUGGAGUAGAGGUAGGCGGAAUUCGUGGUGUAGCGGUGAAAUGCUUAGAUAUCGCGAAGAACUCCGAUUGCGAAGGCAGCUUGCUGAACUGCAACUGACGUUGAGGCACGAAAGUGUGGGUAUCAAACAGGAUUAGAUACCCGGGUAGUC